rnacentral:rRNA from 1 species
AAAGCGCACGUAGGCGGAUCUUUAAGUCAGGGGUGAAAUCCCGAGGCUCAACCUCGGAACUGCCUUUGAUACUGGGGAUCUUGAGUUCGGGAGAGGUGAGUGGAACUGCGAGUGUAGAGGUGAAAUUCGUAGAUAUUCGCAAGAACACCAGUGGCGAAGGCGGCUCACUGGCCCGAAACUGACGCUGAGGUGCGAAAGCGUGGGGAGCAAACAGGAUUAGAUACCCCGGU